rnacentral:rRNA from 1 species
UACGAAGGGGGCUGGCGUUGCUCGGAAUUACUGGGCGUAAAGGGAGCGUAGGCGGAUAGUUCAGUCAGAGGUGAAAGCCCAGGGCUCAACCUUGGAACUGCCUUUGAUACUGGCUAUCUUGAGUUUGGGAGAGGUAUGUGGAACUCCGAGUGUAGAGGUGAAAUUCGUAGAUAUUCGGAAGAACACCAGUGGCGAAGGCGACAUACUGGCCCAAUACUGACGCUGAGGCUCGAAAGCGUGGGGAGCAAACAGG